rnacentral:tRNA from 2 species
GGGCCUUUAGCUCAGUUGGUUAGAGCCUCCGGCUCAUAACCGGAUAGUCCCGGGUUCGAAUCCCUGAAGGCCCACCA